CGAGGCUCGUGAGCGCACGCAAUGUUGCUUCUCUCCAUGAAUGUUACUGUGUUACACGAGAGAGAGAGAGAAGCUGAAGCCCCGUUGAUCCACUGAUGAUCUCUCUGUUUACAGAUUAAAAAGGAAAAACAUUGGAUCUCA